UACAGAGGUCUCAAGCGUUGUUCGGAUUCAUUGGGCGUAAAGGGUGCGUAGGCGGCGCGGUAAGUCGGGUGUGAAAUCUUGGAGCUUAACUCCGAAACUGCAUUCGAUACUGCCGUGCUUGAGGACUGGAGAGGAGACUGGAAUUUACGGUGUAGCGGUGAAAUGCUUAGAUAUCGUAAGGAAGACCAGUGGCGAAGGCGGGUCUCUGGACAGUUCCUGACGCUGAGGCACGAAGGCCAGGGGAGCAAACGGG
rnacentral:rRNA from 1 species